rnacentral:tRNA from 1 species
GAGCCAUUAGCUCAGUUGGUAGAGCAUCUGACUUUUAAUCAGAGGGUCGAAGGUUCGAGUGCUUCAUGGCUCACCA